ensembl:lncRNA
AUUAACUACCUUACAGUAAUAAAUCACAUUUUGCACUACAGGGAUGUAAAGCCUUGAACAGUAAGGCUGCGGGUUAUAGAAUUGCUCCUCACAAUGCUGCUCUGACCUCUUUCCAAAAUCUGUUCUGCUUUCAGAAAUUGAGAGCUUACUUAUACUUAAAAGAAAAGAAAAGAAAAAAAAGGAAAAAGAAGAGUUGCCUUUGGCCAGAGAUCAAUCAUGGAAAACUUCAGUCUCAUCAGAGGAUGUUAUGGAAACAUAUGAGGCCAUAAGCAGAUGAUCUGAUCCUGAUCCCACUUAGCUCACAGCUGUUUUACUCCUGCAGUAAUGCCAGUGUCUGCGGUGGUUUUACCCAUGAUGUGCCACUGUAAGCUGAGAUCAGUUUUGGGCUGCGGGUUACAAUGACAUCUGCUUCACAGCCCCUGCAAGAGCAGUUGCCGAUGGGAGAUAAAGAUGUCUAUUGUGGGACUAUUCAUCUGAUUAAGGGCUACAAGACCAUGCCCCAUGGAACUAUAAAUGUUGAGAUAUAAACCUCAGAAUAUACAGAACUUUAAUUGACAUGGAAAUCCUGACUUUCAGUUGUUUAUCUUGACCAAGUGCCUCUGGCCUGCAACAUGCAUUUUGUUUUGGUACUUCAGCCUUCAGGUGCUGGGCUGGAUCCCCAUGAAGUGCAAAUAUCAAUUACAAUUACAUGAAGCUGAUUGGACUAAAUCAUCUGUCCCAUAGAGAGAGAAGAUAUUUAUAACCAUUCAAGGUUCUUGCAGGAGGUGGUAUUUGGGCAGCACAGAGUACAUGUGACCAGUAGGACAACAGUGUUGGAUGUGCAAACACCUCUGAGACUGUGUUUGUUUUCAUCUGCCUUGUGUCACUGUAUCCAUCACUGCCACUGCAGUUAACAACACCAGUUUUCUCUCAUUUUCCAAAGAGACUGGAGGAGAGAACUGCAGUUGCCCGUCUCUCACAUGAGAGACAAGGGGAAAUGGCUUCAAACUAAAAGAAAGGAAGAUUUAGAUUUACAAGGAAGAAGGAAGGAAGAAGGAAGGAAGAAGAUUUACAAUGAGGGUGGUGAGGCAUGGGCACAGGUUGCCCAGAGAGAUGGUGGAAGCCCUGUUCUUCGAGACACUCAAGAUCAGGCUGCACGGGGCUCUGAGCAACCUAAUCUAGCUGUAGGUGUCCCUGUUCAUUGCAGGGGAGUUGGACUAGAUGACUUUUAAGGAUCCCUUUCAACUCAAAUGAUUCUAUGACUGUAUGCUAUCAUGUUCUUAUCCUCUGGAAGUGAAGAAAAUAAGAGAAAUGGUAUAGCAAAGCUGAUUUUUUUAAUAAUCAUGUGUGCUCUUCAACCACCGAUACAGCUGUACUCAUUUUAAAUUAUGUGGAUUACAGCAUUGAAAAUGACAUUUCUGCCUGUAUAUCUACUUCUCAUGAAUAUUUCUGAGGGAAGAAGUGUCCUCAAACAUGCUGCUCCAAUACUUUGAAGUGCAGAAAUUUAGCAGCUGGUCGUGUAAAAUAAAGUAGCUCAUCUGUACACUUGAGCUGUUGCUUAUCUUGUUCCUCCCUGGGUUUUUCAAGAGCAGCAGUUAGAGGCAGGAUGUUGGGUGAGGUGAACCUUUGGUCUCACCUGCAAAAACUCUUAUAAGGCCCAUAUUUUUAUAAAUACGGUAUCUAGUUCAGAUAUGCAACAUAAUCUGGUCCUCUUCUUCCUCAGCCUGCAUUGUACAGUACCUUCAUGUUUGAACCACAAAAUUAAAUUAUGUUCUGGUAUUUUGUAUACUCUACGCUGAAGAGUAUACAACAACUGGCAACAACUCUGGUGCUGCAUUUGCAGAUACUGGCUACACCUGUUGAUGCACCUUCCUCGCUGGUUAUCUAAAUGCAAGCAGUCUUUGAGGUAGCUCCUGUUAUAAGUAAAACUUGAAAUGAAAGACAAUUUGGUAACUGUAAAUCAUACUCAAUUUUUAUCAUUCCAGGUCUUGAGGAGGUGAAUUGGGUUAAUUUCUAAGUGAUCUCCAACUUACUUCUAUAAUCAUAGAGUGGUCUGGGUUGGAAGGGACCUUAAAGAUCAUCUAGUUCUAGCCCCCUGCUAUAGGCAGCGACACCUCCCACUAGAACAGGUUUCUCAAAGCCCCAUCCAGCCUAGCCUUGAUUGCCUCCAGAGAGGAGGCAUCCACAACUUCUCUGGGAAACCUGCUCCAGUGUCUCACCACGCUCACAGUAAAUAAUUUCUCCCUAGCAUGUGGUGUAAAUCUAUCCUCUUCCACUUUGAAGCCAUAUCCCCUAGUCCUGUUGCUGCAUGCCCUUAUAAAAAGUCCCUCUCCGACUGAUGCAACUACACAUGGCUGAAUGCAUCGAUUAAAAAGCAUGGCAAAACACUGCAAGUAACAAAUGAAUCGGGACUACUUUCCUAAGUUAUAUUCAGUAUUUCUUUGAAAAAUGUUGAGCUGACAGCAGACCUUUAUUUGUUUCAUUAUAGAUUUUGCCAAUGAGCCUCUCACAGUGGUUAUUAGACUGAUUUGGUAAACACCAAAGUCAAUGGAAAAAUGCAGGCUGUAAUGGAAAUGAAAACAUAGAGCUUCUUGUGAUUUUAUAGCUAAUAAAUGUCUAAAACUAUUAAUCUCCUUAAAUCAUUCUUUAAUUCUUAAUUCUUAAAUUCAGGGAAAGGCCAUAUUUACAAGAAGUUGAGCUAGAGGUGUCAUGAAGUGAAUUUGUAUUCUGCUUUCUUUUGGCAGAUGGAAAAACUGAAGCAGAAUAGUUGCAACUGAUGUGCCUGCAGUUGAAGGAUGGGGCCCCAUGUGUAAGGAGAGCAAAGAGACAAAUAUCUGAGAAGUGAACACAUUUAAUAACCAGCAAUAGGAAAGAGAAAAGCACUGAAAAAGCCUGAGCACAAAGUCCGGUUCUGUCAACAAAUCCUGCCAUGUUCAUAGAAAGCCACUUGGAAGAGUAAACACCAGUUCCCAUGAGUAAGAGAGCUUUGAUAUUUCACCAGGAGUGGUUUCCUAUCUGUUUCUCUCAUUUUUUUUCCUUUCCUUUGUUUGGAAGAGGUUGAUAUCUGCUUCUUUUAUGAUAACCCAGGAGUAGCGAAGGACUAGACAGCUGACUGGAGAAACUGGGUGCCAGGAGAUCAACACCUGUCACUUUCAUGUUAUUUAAUAAGAAGCAGACUGACCACAGGGUAAACACAAGCGACAGAGAGAGUAGGUGAGAUGUUGCCUAUCCUAACGGGUAGAUCAUUGCCAGUGUAUGGUCUUGAGGCCUGAAGGCUUUCCACAACUGUCUUUCCAUCAGUGGUCCACAAGCCAUUUAGUGCAGCUGGGCAUUAAAAGGCUAGAGCACAUUCAACGAUGCACUUGCGCAAAGCAGCAUGCAAAGAUAGAAGGUGCAAAAUACUUUUGCUUAGUCAUUAUUAUCUUUGCCCAUACUCAGUGAUGAUCUAGCAGUUCCUUAGUAAACACCAGCACUUCAAAGAAUGUGUGUGUUAAUUUGGUUUUUGAAAUGAGAAGACAAGUAGGUGGAAUGCAUGACCUCUAAUAAAGAAUCUUUUGAUGUUACACAUUAUUACCAGUUUUGAUGGCUGCUCAUUUUAAUUUCUGAAAGCGUAUCAUCAGUAAUGUCUUAUUCUGCCCGCCCAUGGGCUCUGUUUCUCACUUGGACUGGUGACUGUCAAACAGUACACAUCAGGGGAGUGAAGCUGAGCCACUUUUUGCAAUAACUUGAAUGGGACAGGUUAAGAAGUUCAAGACGUACAAGAUAAAUCCAUUGUGUAUGUACAGAUAUCAGAUGUGCUGGAAAUACACGAGCGUGUCUUAUUGAGAAGUCUGGGUUAACCUAGCUAAGAUGACCCAUCUACAUUUCUCCUUUGCAUAUCUGCAUUUAUCAGUGGUAUACUGGUGCGUGUGCCUAUAGUAAAAAGUAUCAAUACAUAAUGAAUCUCAGACUUGUGGAUCAUCCAUAGCCAGCAGUGGUGGUAUACUCAUCAGCUUUCUUGUAUAUAUUAGAAGUAUACAGUGAAAUACUGUUUGGAUAGUGUGCUCUGAUUUUUCUCUGUGGCAUGAUAUCUAAUUAUGAGACAGCACUGCAACAAGAAUGACCGUAUCCCAUUCAUAUAUGGUGAAUCAUUCUCUAUUUUUCCUGUUAAUGACUCAGCAACUCACAAACUGGGAGUGACCACCUAUUGUCUUUUUGAUCUGCUAAAUGGCAUCUGGGAACAACCAUUGUUGUGCAACAUAUUUGGCCAGAGUGGGCUUGCUGAUGACAGGAAGUCAGGGAUGUAUCUGGAUGGUCACAGAGUCACGCCUCAUUAGUGUGACCACAUACGAAGUGCUACUAUUUGCAUACUGAUGGAAGCAUGAUGUUGACUUACAACAGAGGGGACUGCCACUCUGAUGAUUAUAUCGUGUUGCAAGAGCCUGUGCAGAUGUCUGACUGUGGCUGUUGUACUCAUGUGGCACCUUUUUUGUGGCCAUCUUCCUGUACAAAACAAAGGAUCACAUGGGCUGUGCCAGCUGUCCUGUUUGGUUUAACUUGUAGACUAUCCUGAGGUACCACAGGUAACUGGGAUGCAUUUUGCUCAUCUGAACAGUUCAUCCUUCAGCUUUCCAGCUUCUGUGGCUGCCUGACUAAGUGGUUCUUCUUCACAUGCAAGGUCUGUUCCUUUUUCUACUGAAGAUAAAUGGCUGUGUGGGUGAGCUGCUGAUUGAUCGUUUAAUGCUCUCUCAGACAGAAUUAAGUGGGCAGAUCUUUGUGCAACAUUGUGCAGUGAGAGCUGCAUUUCCAAGAACACCUCAACUUUUCAUCUAUUCAUGCUCAUGCACUUGCUUAAUCAUGCUUAUCCUUACCCUGACUUGUCAGAAGUUGAUGAAGAAUUUGGCUUUUCCCAUGUACUUUUGUGCUGGAUCUUGGUCCCUGCUGCUAAUCAAACAACUUGAGUCAAUCACACCACCAUCAUAGAACACAUAACAUGGGAGACUGUCCAUGUUUGGGGAAACCUCUGUGUCCUGGUCCUUGAGCAGAGAGAGAAAGUACUCAGUGGACAAUUCUUGCUGCUUUAGCUAGCAUGUGUAGGACCAACUCUACAACCGGAGAGCAGCUGUAUACUUCUUGUUUCUUCACCCUGACAUUCUGCAUCAUAGUUGCUGGGGAAGGCUGGAAAUUGGACUGGUGCAAAAAGUUAUUGAAUGUGUUUACAGUCUCAACAGUCUUCUGCUAGUGUACCUUUGAUUGGGCACAGUGGUAUGCAUACAGAGAUGAAACAUGCUGGAAAGAUUUCAUACCUUUUGGAGCUUCAAAAUUAGGAUUUAGUUUAACUAAAUUAACUUUUACCCAUGGAAAGAUUUCUAAAGAAAGGAAUAGCUACCUAAGUAACUAC